GAUGAACGCUGGCGGCGUGCUUAACACAUGCAAGUCGAACGGUGAACGAGGGAGCUUGCUCCCUCCGGAUCAGUGGCGAACGGGUGAGUAACACGUGAGCAAUCUGCCCCGAACUCUGGGAUAGGCGCUGGAAACGGCGUCUAAUACCGGAUACGACGCGCGAAGGCAUCUUCUGCGCGUGGAAAGAAUUUCGGUUCGGGAUGAGCUCGCGGCCUAUCAGCUAGUUGGUGAGGUAACGGCUCACCAAGGCGACGACGGGUAGCCGGCCUGAGAGGGUGACCGGCCACACUGGGACUGAGACACGGCCCAGACUCGUACGGGAGGCAGCAGUGGGGAAUAUUGCACAAUGGGCGCAAGCCUGAUGCAGCAACGCCGCGUGAGGGACGACGGCCUUCGGGUUGUAAACCUCUUUUAGUAGGGAAGAAGCGAAAGUGACGGUACCUGCAGAAAAAGCACCGGCUAACUACGUGCCAGCCGCCGCCGCAGUAA
rnacentral:rRNA from 1 species